rnacentral:tRNA from 1 species
GCACUUGUAGCUCAACUGGCAGAGCCACCGCUUUUUAAGCGGAGGGUUGCAGGUUCGACUCCUGCCGGGUGCA